UACGAAGGGGCUAGCGUUGCUCGGAAUCACUGGCGUAAGCGCACGUAGGCGGACUCUUAAGUCGGUGGUGAAAUCCUGGAGCUCAACUCCAGAACUGCCUUCGAUACUGAGAGUCUUGAGUCCGGAGAGUGAGUGGACUGCGAGUGUAGAGGUGAAAUUCGUAGAUAUUCGCAAGAACACCAGUGGCGAAGGCGCUCACUGGCCCGGUACUGACGCUGAGGUGCGAAAGCGUGGGAGCAACAGG
rnacentral:rRNA from 1 species